CGAGCAAGCAUACUGUAUGACAUAGUUAUAGAUCGUUUCGGCAACAUGAAAGAGAGGAAGGUUGUAGUUUCUCUUCAAGUAGGGAGCUGGGUCAGAUAUACUGUAGGAGCUGAAGUCGGGCUCCUUCAUAACCAGUAUCUGUGAUUAGAGAGGCAUGGAGCUGGUCUAUGCUGCCAUGCCCAUCAGGCAUUAGCCAACACCUCAGAAGGGACAAAAGAUGCAGGACAGAAGAGAUGCUUUUGAAAUGGAGUCCAAUUACUGAAAGACGGGUUCCUCCUGAUGUCUGAAUUGGGAGAGGCAUUGAACUCUGCAUUAAAAUAAUACAAGACACAUCUUUAACUUUUUAUGAUUUUUUGUUAUUAUUGAAUCGAAUGGUACUAUCAAUUGGAUGUGGGGGGGCUGUGUAUUCUUCAAACACGUCAGGGUACUCCUGUCUUAUAUGGGACCCCAUACAUGGGAAGUAUAAUAUUUGCACAUUGUUAUAUUAGCAGAACCCUGGUUCUACAGUAUUAUGUGAAGUAUGGUUUAUUCUACAUGGAGCUGUUACGCUUGAACAUUAGGCCAAACAAAAUGUUUUGAUAUCUACAUAAGUCCAGCAAUUGCACUCUUCUCAUAUUACUCUGUGGGCUACUGACCGAUGAAAAGCUUCCUCCUGGAGUAGCCUACAGAGUGCCAUCCUCCUGCAUCUCACAUCUGCCUGUAGUAAUUGAACUCUGCCUGGGUUGAAGCAAACCCUAUCAUUUCCAGGAUGGAGUGUCAUGCACCCCACCCCUCUUGCCAACUGACUGCACCUGUCCAUAACCUGUAAUACAUUACAUAGAUGGAAGGGACUUCAUCAACCACUGGGAACUUGAAGACAAAACCUCGCCCAGAGAGCUGUGCAUGUUAGUGUGUGGUUAGACAGCCAAAUCCUUGGAUUUGGCCAUAUAGACAAAUAUAACCCCAUUCUUGUUCUGGUUAGACAGCUGAAAUUGUACUCUACUCGCAAAUUAUUUGUGUUUGCUAGUUAACUGUAGGCAUACUUAUAAGCACAUAAACAUGAUA